rnacentral:lncRNA from 1 species
AUGGCGAAGGACCUGGACGAACUUCUGGACGAAGUCGAAACCAAGAUCUGCAGACUAGACCCCCUGAGGCUGGACCUGGGUCAGCGGCCCAAAGGAGGUGGCAGUGGCAGCUUACACAGCGGCGGCCAGAACGGAGCCCUGGAGAAAGAGACUCUCAGAUCAACAGAAACACUUGAAAAAGAAGAUGAUCUUCAGUCUUAUUAAUGAAAUAUUCGAGGAGCCUGACUCUGACAAAAAAUCUUUUCAAACAUUUAAAUCUAAAUUUUCAAGUGACACAUCUGUCAGAGCUCCCAUACAAGGCGGCAGUAAAAGUUGCAGUCCAGUGCAUCUCAGCGGAAGUACCAUUCCAUGUGGGAUUGGAACAAAUACUUCACAGAGAGCAUGUGACAGACUGCGUUGUGUAGCCUGUGAGCUACAAUAUGUGGGAUAAGUCAUGUGACUACCUGUUCUUCAGGAACAACAUGGCAGAAUUCCACAAACUCGAAACAAAAUUGAUCGAGAAGAAAGGAGCAUGGGCAUAUGCCUGCCAGUGUAGCUGGAGAACUGUUGAAGAACUCACUGACCUGCAAACAGAUCAUCUUCGCUGGGUGUGUGGUAAGCACUGA